GAUGAACGCUAGCGAUAGGCUUAACACAUGCAAGUCGAGGGGCAGCGAGGGUAGCACUGCCUGUCGGCGACCGGCGCACGGGUGAGUAACGCGUAUGUAACCUGCCCGCAACAGGGGGAUAACCCGGCGAAAGUCGGACUAAUACCGCAUAAAACAGGGGUCCCGCAUGGGAAUAUUUGUUAAAGAUUUAUCGGUUGCGGAUGGGCAUGCGUACCAUUAGGUAGUUGGUGAGGUAACGGCUCACCAAGCCUUCGAUGGUUAGGGGUUCUGAGAGGAAGGUCCCCCACACUGGUACUGAGACACGGACCAGACUCCUACGGGAGGCAGCAGUGAGGAAUAUUGGUCAAUGGGCGAGAGCCUGAACCAGCCAAGUCGCGUGAAGGAUGACUGCCCUAUGGGUUGUAAACUUCUUUUACAAGGGAAUAAAAUGAGAUACGUGUAUUUUAUUGCAUGUACCUUGGGAAUAAGCAUCGGCUAACUCCGUG
rnacentral:rRNA from 1 species